CCUACGGGAGGCUGCAGUGAGGAAUAUUGGUCAAUGGACGAGAGUCUGAACCAGCCAAGUAGCGUGAAGGAUGACUGCCCUAUGGGUUGUAAACUUCUUUUAUAAAGGAAUAAAACGAGGCACGUGUGCCUUUUUGCAUGUACUUUAUGAAUAAGGAUCGGCUAACUCCGUGCCAGCAGCCGCGGUAAUACGGAGGAUCCGAGCGUUAUCCGGAUUUCUUGGGUUUAAAGGGAGCGUAGAUGGGUUGUUAAGUCAGUUGUGAAAGUUUGCGGAUCAACCGUAAAAUUGCAAUUGAUACUGGCAGUCUUGAGUACAGUUGAGGUAAGCGGAAUUCGUGGUGUAGCGGUGAAAUGCUUAGAUAUCACGAAGAACCCCGAUUGCGAAGGCAGCUUACUAAACUGUGACUGACAUUGAUGCUCGAAAGUGUGGGUAUCAAACAGGAUUAGAUACCCCGGUAGUC
rnacentral:rRNA from 1 species